rnacentral:rRNA from 1 species
UACGUAGGUGGCGAGCGUUGUCCGGAUUUACUGGGCGUAAAGAGCGCGCAGGCGGCUGGUCAAGUCCGAUGUGAAAGCUCCCGGCUUAACUGGGAAAUUGCAUCGGAAACUGAUCGGCUGGAAGGUGGGAGAGGGUAGCGGAAUUCCCGGUGUAGAGGUGAAAUUCGUAGAUAUCAGGAGGAACACCGGUGGCGAAGGCGGCGACCUGGGUGGAUACUGACGCUGAGGUGCGAAAGCGUGGGGAGCAAACAGG